rnacentral:rRNA from 1 species
AGAAUCAACGCUGGCGGCGUGCCUAACACAUGCAAGUCGAACGAGAAAGUGGAGCAAUCCAUGAGUACAGUGGCGUACGGGUGAGUAACACGUGACUACCUACCCUCGAGUGGGGAAUAACCUCGGGAAACCGGGGCUAAUACCGCAUAACAUCUACGGAUCAAAUGCGAAAGCAGCUUGAGGAGGGGGUCGCGGCCGAUUAGCUAGUUGGUGAGGUAAUGGCCCACCAAGGCAAUGAUCGGUAGCCGGCCUGAGAGGGCGCACGGCCACACUGGAACUGAAACACGGUCCAGACUCCUACGGGAGGCAGCAGUGGGGAAUUUUGCGCAAUGGGGGAAACCCUGACGCAGCAACGCCGCGUGGAGGAUGAAGCCCCUUGGGGUGUAAACGUCCUUUCGAUCGGGACGAUUAUGACGGUACCGGAAGAAGAAGCACCGGCUAACUCUGUGCCAGCAGCCGC